CGGGGAGGUAGUGACGAAAAAUAACAAUACAGGACUCUUUCUAGGCCCUGUAAUUGGAAUGAGUGCACUUUAAAUCUUUUAAUGAGGAUCAAUUGGAGGGCAAGUCUGGUGCCAGCAGCCGUGGUAAUUCCAGCUCCAAUAGCGUUUACUUUGAAAAAAUUAGAGUGUUCAAAGCAGGCCCAAGCCGCCUGGAUACUGCAGCUUGGAAUAAUGGAAUAGGACCACAGUUCUAUUUUGUUGGUUUUCGGAACUGAGGCCAUGAUUAAGAGGGACGGCCGGGGGCAUUCAUAUUGCACCGCUAGAGGUGAAAUUCUUGGACUGGCAGUUUAGACCAGAGCGAAAGCAUUUGCCAAGAAUGUUUUCAUUAAUCAAGAACGAAAGUCGGAGUAUGGUUGCAAAGCUGAAACUUAAAGGAAUUGACAGAAGGGCACCACCAGGAGUGGAGCCUGCAGCUUAAUUUGACUCAACAUGGGAAAACUCACCCAGCCUGGACACGGACAGGAUUGACAGAUUGAUAGCUCUUUCUCGAUUCCACGGGUGGUGG
rnacentral:lncRNA from 1 species